ensembl:snRNA U2 U2 spliceosomal RNA
AUCCCUUCCAGGUCUUUUAGCUAAGAGCAAGUAUAGUAUCUGUUCUUACCAGCUGUAUCAUCUAUCUGAGGACAAUACAGUAAAUGGAACAAAUUUUUGGAGCAGGGAAUUGGAAUAGGAGCUUACUUAACUUCUCUCUACACAUACACCUGGUAUUCUCCAGAAAUGGUGCAACUCCC